UACCCAUAUAUCUGUACGUGGAACUCCACUCUCUCUAAUUCCUUCACCAAUUUCUUUUUCGUUUCCAUAAAUGUGAGCCGUAUCAAUGUGGCGGUAUCCUGCCUUCAAAGCAGCGCAAACAGCAUUCUUGGUUUCAUCUUUACCAGAUCUCCAAGUACCAAGCCCAAUAGAAGGUAUUUUAUCACCAUUAGGAAGCGUGAAGUAAGCUUCACGUGCGUUCUUAGCAAAUUCUUUAAUUGACAUUAAGGCUGAGAAGUAAUUGUGUUAGGUAAAAGUGAAAUCUAUCUCACCAUUUCGGAACACAUACGGAAGCACAAUGAGCGGAUGAAGGGAAUAGAGUCUAGCCAAUGCACUCAAGCUGUUUAGACUUUAAUUUUACGGAUAGGUCAAAGAAAUUGAGUAUUUGCUGUAUUUCCAAUAAUGAGGUGGAACGUAUGUAUUUUUCAUAAUUAAUUGUCAAAACGAUCCACGCAUAUCUGACUUUUCACGUUAUAGAUUAGAUGCUAAAAUGUAUUCAAAAAUAAGAUGUGUGACCAUGUGCUAUAAUUUUAUAAAAGAUCCUUGUCCUUGGCUUAGGUUAAGUUCCACUAGGCUCGUUCAUUAUUAUAUUCUUAGACGUUUCUUUAUUUUUGAUAUAAUAAUUCGCUAGAAUUAAAUGGAGUAUGGAACUGAUGGAAUUUAAAUAAAUUGACUUUUCGUUUUCUAUUAAAAACGAUGAUUAUUCGGGUAUUGUUUACAUUUUCUCUUCCAGUCCAUCAUUUGAUGCUAGUUAAGUUCGUAAUUAGGUUUUUGCUUGAGUCAGCGUAUGGGAUGUUCUUAUAACUGAGCAUUUUACUAAUUGGCGAUAACUUUAAUCUUCUGUAAACUAAUAAAUGGUCUAAAAUAUAAAUACUCUUCAAAUUCA